ACUCCUACGGGAGGCAGCAGUGGGGAAUAUUGGACAAUGGGCGGAAGCCUGAUCCAGCAACGCCGCGUGAGGGAUGACGGCCUUCGGGUUGUAAACCUCUUUCACCAUUGACGAAGCUGCAUCUUUUUGGGUGUGGUGACGGUGGGUGGGGAAGAAGCACCGGCCAAYUACGUGCCAGCAGCCGCGGUAAUACGUAGGGUGCGAGCGUUGUCCGGAAUUAUUGGGCGUAAAGGGCUCGUAGGCGGUUUGUCGCGUCGGGAGUGAAAACCUUGGGCUUAACUCAGGGCUUGCUUUCGAUACGGGCAGACUAGAGGUAUGCAGGGGAGAACGGAAUUCCUGGUGUAGCGGUGAAAUGCGCAGAUAUCAGGAGGAACACCGGUGGCGAAGGCGGUUCUCUGGGCAUGAUCUGACGCUGAGGAGCGAAAGUGUGGGGAGCGAACAGGAUUAGAUACCCUGGUAGUCCACACCGUAAACGUUGGGCGCUAGGUGUGGGGUCCAUUCCACGGGUUCCGUGCCGCAGCUAACGCAUUAAGCGCCCCSCCUGGGGRGUACGGCCGCAAGGCUAAAACUCAAAGGAAUUGACGRWGU
rnacentral:rRNA from 1 species